ACGAACGCUGGCGGCGUGCUUAACACAUGCAAGUCGAACGAUGAUGCUGAGCUUGCUUAGCGGAUUAGUGGCGAACGGGUGAGUAACACGUGAGUAACCUGCCCUUGACUCUGGGAUAAGCGUUGGAAACGACGUCUAAUACCGGAUAUGACCUUCAGCCGCAUGGUUUGUUGGUGGAAAGAAUUUUGGUCAAGGAUGGACUCGCGGCCUAUCAGGUUGUUGGUGAGGUAAUGGCUCACCAAGCCUACGACGGGUAGCCG
rnacentral:rRNA from 1 species